AACCUAAUAGCGAAAUUGGCAUCGCGUCCACUGCACUUAACCUGGCACCAGGAGUCAAAGUGGAAGUCCCUCGGUCGAACCGAGGUUAGGUUG